rnacentral:rRNA from 1 species
GACGAACGCUGGCGGCGUGCUUAACACAUGCAAGUCGAACGGAAAGGCCCUGCUUUUGUGGGGUGCUCGAGUGGCGAACGGGUGAGUAACACGUGUGUAACCUGCCCUUGACUUUGGGAUAACUUCAGGAAACUCGGGCUAAUACCGGAUAUGAGCUCCUGCUGCAUGGUGGGGGUUGGAAAGUUUCGGCGGUUGGGGCUGGUCUCGCGGCAUAUCAGCUUGAUGGUGGGGUAGUGGCUUUCCAAGGAUUUGACGGGUAGCCGGCCUGAGAGGGUGACAGGCCACAUGGGGACUGAGAUAGGGCCCAGACGCCUACGGGAGGCAGGAGUGGGGAAUAGUGGACAAUGGGCGGAAGCCUGAUGCAGCAACGCCGCGUGCGGGAAGACGGCCUUCGGGUUGUAAAACGCGUUCGCGUGAGACGAAGCGUGAGUGACGGUAAUGGGUAGAGAAGCACCGGCUAACUACGU